AGUGAACGCUGGCGGUAGGCCUAACACAUGCAAGUCGAACGGCAGCACAGUAAGAGCUUGCUCUUACGGGUGGCGAGUGGCGGACGGGUGAGGAAUACAUCGGAAUCUACUUUUUCGUGGGGGAUAACGUAGGGAAACUUACGCUAAUACCGCAUAUGAUCUACGGGUGAAAGCAGGGGAUCUUCGGACCUUGCGCGAUUGAAUGAGCCGAUGUCGGAUUAGCUAGUUGGCGGGGUAAAGGCCCACCAUGGCGACGAUCCGUAGCUGGUCUGAGAGGAUGAUCAGCCACACUGGAACUGAGACACGGUCCAGACUCCUACGGGAGGCAGCAGUGGGGAAUAUUGGACAAUGGGCGCAAGCCUGAUCCAGCCAUACCGCGUGGGUGAAGAAGGCCUUCGGGUUGUAAAGCCCUUUUGUUGGGAAAGAAAAGCAGCAGGUUAAUACCCCGCUGUUCUGACGGUACCCAAAGAAUAAGCACCGGCUAACUUCGUG
rnacentral:rRNA from 1 species